GACGAACGCUGGCGGCGUGCCUAAUACAUGCAAGUAGGACGCAGUUGCGAACGGGUGAGUAACGCGUAUGUAACUGCCUAUUAGAGGGGGAUAACUAUUGGAAACGAUAGCUAAUACCGCAUACUAGUAGAUGGACCUGCGUUGUAUUAGAUAGUAGGUAGGGUAAUGGCCUCCCUAGGCGCCGAUACAUAGCCGACGUGAGCAGGUGAUCGGCCACACUUGGGCUGAGAAACGGCCCAGACUCCUACGGGAGGCAGCAGUAGGGAAUCUUCGGCAAUGGGGGGAACCCUGACCGGGCAACGCCGAGGGAGUGAAGAAGGUUUUCGGAUCGUAAAGCUCUGUUGUUAAGGAAGCGGUACUUAACCAGAAAGGGACGGCUAACUACGUGCCAGCAGCCGCGGUAAUAC
rnacentral:rRNA from 1 species